rnacentral:rRNA from 1 species
AGAGUUUGAUCCUGGCUCAGAACGAACGCUGGCGGCAUGCCUAACACAUGCAAGUCGAACGAAGGCUCUAGCUUGCUAGAUGUCCUUAGUGGCGAACGGGUGAGUAACGCGUGGGAAUCUGCCAUAGAGUGGGGAACAACUUUUGGAAACGAAAGCUAAUACCGCAUACGCCCUCCGGGGGAAAGGCUUCGGCCGCUCUUUGAUGAUCCCGCGUCUGAUUAGCUUGUUGGUAAGGUAAUGGCUUACCAAGGCGACGAUCAGUAGCUGGUCUGAGAGGAUGAUCAGCCACACUGGGACUGAGACACGGCCCAGACUCCUACGGGAGGCAGCAGUGGGGAAUAUUGGACAAUGGGGGAAACCCUGAUCCAGCAAUGCCGCGUGAGUGAAGAAGGCCUUAGGGUUGUAAAACUCUUUCGCCGGUGAAGAUGAUGACUGUAGCCGGUAAAGAAGCCCCGGCUAACUCCGUGCCAGCAGCCGCGGUAAUACGGAGGGGGCUAGCGUUGUUCGGAUUUACUGGGCGUAAAGCGCACGUAGGCGGCAUAUUAAGUUAGAGGUGAAAGGCCUGGGCUCAACCUAGGAACUGCCUUUAAUACUGGUAUGCUUGAGUUCGGAAGAGGGUAGUGGAAUUCCAAGUGUAGAGGUGAAAUUCGUAGAUAUUUGGAAGAACACCGGUGGCGAAGGCGGCUACCUGGUCCGAUACUGACGCUGAGGUGCGAAAGCGUGGGGAGCGAACAGGAUUAGAUACCCUGGUAGUCCACGCCGUAAACG